rfam:Candidate division Zixibacteria bacterium SM23_73_2 WORSMTZ_1159, whole genome shotgun sequence.
GCCGGAGUGGUGGAAUUGGUAGACGCGCCGGACUCAAAAUCCGGUGAGGCUCAAACCUCGUGUCGGUUCGACUCCGACCUCCGGCA